GUCCCUUCGGGGACAUCUGAUAAAAUUAGAACGACACGAAGAACAUUAGCAUGUCCCCUACCCAACGAUAACACACAUAAAUCAAGCAUAAGAGAGAAUUGAG